GAAAAUAAUUAAGUUUUGUAAUAUGAUCUAAAAAAUUCAAGGACUUACAGAGUAUAUCAAUUUUUGAGUAUAUCAAUCAUGUUAAGCUCACGUUAUUAAAACACCACAAAAUCGUCACUUUAAGAUGUAAAUAAUCUUGCAACGCUCAUCAGUAAAAUUAAAACGCGCCCGUUAACUGUCGAUCGAACUGGAAACAAUGGCCGGUCUAAAUUCCAAUCAAGGCGUAGCAUUGUAAAUCUUUGUUAACUCGAUGCAGAUGUAUCGUAGCUGCCAGCCGGAACUAAAGGUUGCAAGCAGAAUUAUCUGGAUACUCGGAUAAAUUUAAAAUUGGACAUUUAAAAACAUGAUUACACUUUCUUUUGGCUGGGUACGGAGGAGACGAAGCUCUGUGGUAUGAAUAGAGAUGGGUAGACGAGCUCACGGCCACCUAGUGUUCAGAGUGCAUGGACAUCAACAUUUUACAGCACAACGACGGCCCGGCCCUUCAAACUGAAAGCAAUUACCUACUGCAGAAAUAGGCAAGGUGGUGGUACCUACUCGUGCGAGCUCAAAAAGCGCCCUACCGCCAGUAAAACCUCAUUAAAUGCAUUUUGAUUAACUGAUUAACUUAAUAAUGUUUAACUUUAACUAAAUGUGUUUAGAGAUCGAAA